UUCGCCGCUUGCGACGUCUUGAGAAGUCCACUGAACCUUAUCAUUUAGAGGAAGGAGAAGUCGUAACAAGGUUUCCGUAGGUGAACCUGCGGAAGGAUCAUUGUUGAAAUUAUCAACGUGGAGGAUUGUGAAUGUGUCAACGAGCGUUGCUGGGUUGGGCCCCUCCUGCGCUGACGCCGUCCCUUCCCUUGCGGUGUGGACGAUCGACCAAACCCCCGGCGCAACGGGCGCUAAGGAAUUGUGAAACUUGUCGGUGGGCGGGACUCUGUCCUAGUUUUGCUGAAGUUUCCUCGGAACCGAAUGACUCUCGGCAACGGAUAUCUCGGCCCUCCCCUCGAUGAAGAACGUAGCGAAAUGCGAUACGUGGUGUGAAUUGCAGAAUCCCGCGAACCAUUGAGUCUUUGAACGCAAGUUGCGCCUGAGGCCUUCCGGUCGAGGGCACGCCUGCCUGGGCGUCACGCUAUUGUCGCUCCGCGCGCCCCAGCCCCCCACGCACGAGUGUUUGAGCCGGAGGUGGACGUUGGCCCCCCGUGCCCUUUGGGCACGGUCGGCUGAAGAGUGGGUCGUCGCCGGUGGUUGGUCACGACGGGUGGUGGUGCCGUGAGCAAGCCGAACGUCGUAACUUGGCCAUGGAGAUGAGCUAUUGAGGAUCCCGACCAUAAUCGUUUGUCUUGGAUUGCGACCCCAGGUCAGGCGGGGUCACCCGCCGAGUUUAAGCAUAUAAAUAAGCGGAGGAGAAGAAACUUAAGAGGAUUCCCAUAGUAACGGCGAGCGAACCGGGAUCAGCCCAGCUGAGAAU
rnacentral:rRNA from 1 species